UACGGAGGAUCCAAGCGUUAUCCGGAAUCAUUGGGUUUAAAGGGUGCGUAGGUGGGUCUGUAAGUCAGUGGUGAAAUCUCCGAGCUUAACUCGGAAACUGCCAUUGAUACUAUAGAUCUUGAAUUAUCUGGAGGUGAGCGGAAUAUGUCAUGUAGCGGUGAAAUGCUUAGAUAUGACAUAGAACACCAAAUUGCGAAGGCAGCUCACUACGGAUUGAUUGACACUGAGGCACGAAAGCGUGGGGAUCAAACAGG
rnacentral:rRNA from 1 species